rnacentral:hammerhead_ribozyme from 1 species
GUACUGAUGAAGAGUCGCAAACUAACCAGACGAAACAGCUGUCUGGUAC